UGCAUCAUAUAUUCAGAUAUAUAGUGUGUGUCGUUGCGUGCAGCGUCCUCCGAUCCGCUGAAACGUUAGCUGCCGCCUAUUUUUGGAAAACAAGGAAACAAAAAUCCGGGCGCAGGCAGAGCGCGCCUGCUAAUGCGCUGCGCUGCGCACGGGGGCACGGAGAGAGAGAGAGAGGGAGAGAGAGAGAGGGAGAGAGAGAGACAGGCAGACACAGCACAGGGUGAGACGAGCGAGCCCCACUGCGCUGCGCUGCACGCACCUUGAGCGCCUUCCAGUAAGCCGUGCCCGGGAAGUUGAGCGGCGCGGACACGACGCCCUUCAUGAAGGUUAAACGUGAACUGCACUCGUCAUCAUCCGGGCACGGUGAUUAGCGGCGGCGUCCCUUGGUGGCUUGCAUGGAUGGAUCAGAAAGAUCACCUUCUUGGCCUCGUGCUGGGCAGAGAAGCAGGCGCCGCCGGAGGGCGGGCACCAGGAGCGGAGGACCAGCAGGGUGUGGCGCUCGACCUCCGGGAGGAGCACGGCGCGGAGGCGGACGGAGCUGAGGAAGUUGAGCGAGAUGGCGCGCAUCUCGCGGUGCGCGUCGCCGACGAGCACCAGCAUCGACCACUUGCCCAGGAUGCCGCCGAUGCUGCGCGGGUAGCUGCACUCGAACAGCCGCCCCUCGUUCUGCAGGAUGUACCGGUUCAGCCCCGCGUCCGCCGACACCACCGUCCGCUCCCCGAACAGGCUCGACCGGUAUAUCUUCCCGUACCUGCAUGCAUGCCCAAUUGGCCAACAAGCUAAGCUAAGCUCUCUCAUGUGCUAGCUGCUGCCACCGAAUACACCGACGGCGACGCACCGUGCGACGUGCUGCUCCAUGAAGCGGCCGACGGAGGUGGCCGGGUGGGGGCGGAGGUAGCCGAAGGUCUCGCCGACCAAGGGCCACCCAGGGGCGCCCGGCGGCAGGUUCGGCCGCUUCUUCUUUGUCGGGCGCCGCCACCGGCGGGCGCCGUGGCAUUGGGCGACGGUGGCGGUGUAGAAGGUGAGGAGGGCCAGCAGGAUGAAGGGGAGGAAGAAGAGGACCUCGCUGGUUAUGGAGGCCAUCAUGGCACCCAUGAUCGGAGGCCUCUAGCUAGCUAACUUUGAUGAAACUUAUUUCCUGCCGCUUGCCCUGCCCGAUCAGAUCCCUCGCCCGCUUUGUUGGUUUUGGUGUGUGUUGGAGAGGAGGAUGGGUUAGAGAGAGAAAGCAGGCUACUAGGAGAGGGAGGGAGCGAGAGAACCCAGCUAAAUUAAAGGAGCGCUUUUAGCUCUGGAUUUCUCUCUCUCUCUGCAAGUGCAAGCUUUGCACGAGGAAAAAAAAAGCUAGGCGCCCGGCCACUUCGCCCCUCUCUCUCAGCUCUUGUGUGGUGCUGUUAUAUAAGUUUUUGAGAUGUGUGACAGGGGAGAGGUGGUUGUGGGGGGCU